UACGGAGGGUGCAAGCGUUGUUCGGAUUUACUGGGCGUAAAGCGCGCGCAGGUGGGUGAACAAGUCGGAAGUGAAAUCCCAGGGCUCAACCCUGGGGCUGCUCCCGAAACUGUACGCCUAGGGACUGGUAGAGGCUGGUAGAAUUCCCGGUGUAGCGGUGGAAUGCGUAGAGAUCGGGAAGAACAUCGGUGGCGAAAGCGCUCUACUGGACUGCAACUGACACUGAGGGACGAAAGCUAGGGGAGCGAAUGGG
rnacentral:rRNA from 1 species